AUACGAAGGUCCCAAGCGUUAUUCGGAAUCACUGGGCGUAAAGAGUAUGUAGGCGGUUUGGUAAGUCAGGUUUGAAAUCCCGAAGCUCAACUUCGGAACUGCAUCCGAUACUGCUAGACUUGAGUAAUGGAGAGGCAGGUGGAAUUCUCGGUGUAGCAGUGAAAUGCGUGGAUAUCGAGAGGAAGACCAAUGGCGAAGGCAGCCUGCUGGACAUUUCCUGACGCUGAGAUACGAAGGCUAGGGUAGCGAAAGGGAGUAGAAACCCCAGUAGUCC
rnacentral:rRNA from 1 species